UGCAACCAAUAUUUAAGAACGAUGCAGAGAUAUGAUUAUAUUUGAUGCUGGUUGUUGGUCUGCGAGUCGGGAACUCAUGCUGAACCGGCAUUGAACCGCUCAAACGCGUUUCAGCAAUGCGCCGUGUUCAGUGAGGAACUGAAGGAACCAGUCAGUUCAACAAACCCGCGAGUGAUGACGGAUCCAAUAAGUGAUGCAAUGCCGGUUCAGCAUGAAUUCUGAUUAUCCUAGGCCGAUAUCUUGUCGAGGUCGAAAUACUGGGCGAAACAGAGCGAGAACUAAGAUGAUCAAACUGCAGUUGUUUGUCCAUAACAUUUAUAAUACAUACAGAUUGUUGAAUAAUCUUGAAAAUAUUCGUGGCUAAAUUGCGAUAAAAGAAUUAUUAUCAGGAAUAUCCUUUUUUCAUAACUUGAGCAUGCAUAAACCUAAGGCAAUCAAGACAACACUUAACCAUACAAGAACCAAAAAAAAAAAAUCUACAGUGACAUCUCUGGGAAAUUACUCCGUACUACGCAUCAACUUCUGGAAAUCUUGGACAUUACUUCGUUUGGCAUGUUCUUCUUGAAGAGGACUACAUCUAUUCAUCUAGAAAUCAUCCACAACAGUACAGGUAUUAUGGCCAAUUUGUUGGGCGCUGGUCCAGAAGCAGCACCACGACCUCAGGUAGCAGCUGCGGCUAUCACUCAGGCAGCCAAAUGCUUUGCCACCGAUAGCUCAUGUACAUUAUCAACCACCGCACCCUGCGCCUGCAUCGAACAUCCAGGAUCACCAUCACCAUCCUCUGGAGCCUUGAAGCACUAAAAAACAUCUUCAAUCUUCAAGAAGCUCAUCCGUCGAACUUGGAUGUCGCUGCUGACAAUCAGCUCUUCAAAUCAUCGAUUUCAUCGGAGAAAGACCGAAAUCUAUCCAUGGGAAUUGCCUGCCCAUUCUCACUUUUCUUCGGGAUCAUCAUUUUCCUGAGACUUCUGAUGCCUUAAUAGGAAUUCUUGACCCACCUGAAUUAAACUUAAUAUUGUAUAUGUGUAUAUGCAGUUAGUGUUACUGCAUAUACUGUGCUGUAUAUAACUUAGUUCACGAUUUUCUUUUUUUCUUUGUAUGCCUUGGUUGUACUUAUAACAUUGAUUUCAUAAAGCCCGCUAUUUCUCCCCACCAUUGGGACUAAUAGAAAAACAAAGACCUAUCUAUGAGAGAAGAUAGGGCUGACCGGCUCAUUCUUGUUGAGAAAAAGAGGAGAAGAAAAACGUGGCUCUUAUUAAGUUUUAAAAUUGAUUAUAGAUAAAGUGUUAUCAGUUUGUUUUUAAUUUUAAUUUAGUUAAAGGUACAUUGUACACAACAUACACAGUGUUUCUUUUUGUGCAUGCACAAGAAUUUUGGUUUAUUUUUUCCUAUUUCGCAUUUUUCUUAUUCUUUAUUGUAAGCAUUAAUCUUUUUAUAAUUUUCGAUUAAGCAUUGAUCUUUUGUAUCAUUUAUUGUUAGAAUAUAUUUAGUUUAGAUAA